GGAAUUGCGGUGUGAACUGGUAGUCGAGAGUGAGUCAGAGGGGGGUGGAAUUCCACGUGUAGCAGUGAAAUGCGUAGAUAUGUGGAGGAACACCAAUGGCGAAGGCAGCCCCCUGGGAUAACACUGACGCUCAUGUACGAAAGCGUGGGUAGCAAACAGG
rnacentral:rRNA from 1 species